rnacentral:misc_RNA from 1 species
AAAGUAUGAGUGUCAGCAUCACAUGUAGCCAAUUUAUCAUCAACACAUCACAUUGCAUCAUUAAGGAAGACAACACUAAAAAAUAUGAACUAGUAACAGUCCAGAAAAUGACUACACCAUAUGCAACUUUUUCUAUCAUAUCUCAUGAUAUAUAUAUCAUGUACUGGAUAUUAUUUAUAACAUCCUAAAUAAGGCAUUUUGU